rnacentral:rRNA from 1 species
CGGGACACGUGGUAUCCUGUCUGAAUAUGGGGGGACCAUCCUCCAAGGCUAAAUACUCCUGACUGACCGAUAGUGAACCAGUACCGUGAGGGAAAGGCGAAAAGAACCCCGGCGAGGGGAGUGAAAAAGAACCUGAAACCGUGUACGUACAAGCAGUGGGAGCACGCUUAGGCGUGUGACUGCGUACCUUUUGUAUAAUGGGUCAGCGACUUAUAUUCUGUAGCAAGGUUAACCGAAUAGGGGAGCCGAAGGGAAACCGAGUCUUAACUGGGCGUUAAGUUGCAGGGUAUAGACCCGAAACCCGGUGAUCUAGCCAUGGGCAGGUUGAAGGUUGGGUAACACUAACUGGAGGACCGAACCGACUAAUGUUGAAAAAUUAGCGGAUGACUUGUGGCUGGGGGUGAAAGGCCAAUCAAACCGGGAGAUAGCUGGUUCUCCCCGAAAGCUAUUUAGGUAGCGCCUCGUGAAUUCAUCUCCGGGGGUAGAGCACUGUUUCGGCAAGGGGGUCAUCCCGACUUACCAACCCGAUGCAAACUGCGAAUACCGGAGAAUGUUAUCACGGGAGACACACGGCGGGUGCUAACGUCCGUCGUGAAGAGGGAAACAACCCAGACCGCCAGCUAAGGUCCCAAAGUCAUGGUUAAGUGGGAAACGAUGUGGGAAGGCCCAGACAGCCAGGAUGUUGGCUUAGAAGCAGCCAUCAUUUAAAGAAAGCGUAAUAGCUCACUGGUCGAGUCGGCCUGCGCGGAAGAUGUAACGGGGCUAAACCAUGCACCGAAGCUGCGGCAGCGACGCUGAUGCGUUGUUGGGUAGGGGAGCGUUCUGUAAGCCUGUGAAGGUGUGCUGUGAGGCAUGCUGGAGGUAUCAGAAGUGCGAAUGCUGACAUAAGUAACGAUAAAGCGGGUGAAAAGCCCGCUCGCCGGAAGACCAAGGGUUCCUGUCCAACGUUAAUCGGGGCAGGGUGAGUCGACCCCUAAGGCGAGGCCGAAAGGCGUAGUCGAUGGGAAACAGGUUAAUAUUCCUGUACUUGGUGUUACUGCGAAGGGGGGACGGAGAAGGCUAUGUUGGCCGGGCGACGGUUGUCCCGGUUUAAGCGUGUAGGCUGGUUUUCCAGGCAAAUCCGGAAAAUCAAGGCUGAGGCGUGAUGACGAGGCACUACGGUGCUGAAGCAACAAAUGCCCUGCUUCCAGGAAAAGCCUCUAAGCAUCAGGUAACAUCAAAUCGUACCCCAAACCGACACAGGUGGUCAGGUAGAGAAUACCAAGGCGCUUGAGAGAACUCGGGUGAAGGAACUAGGCAAAAUGGUGCCGUAACUUCGGGAGAAGGCACGCUGAUAUGUAGGUGAAGCGACUUGCUCGUGGAGCUGAAAUCAGUCGAAGAUACCAGCUGGCUGCAACUGUUUAUUAAAAACACAGCACUGUGCAAACACGAAAGUGGACGUAUACGGUGUGACGCCUGCCCGGUGCCGGAAGGUUAAUUGAUGGGGUCAGCGCAAGCGAAGCUCUUGAUCGAAGCCCCGGUAAACGGCGGCCGUAACUAUAACGGUCCUAAGGUAGCGAAAUUCCUUGUCGGGUAAGUUCCGACCUGCACGAAUGGCGUAAUGAUGGCCAGGCUGUCUCCACCCGAGACUCAGUGAAAUUGAACUCGCUGUGAAGAUGCAGUGUACCCGCGGCAAGACGGAAAGACCCCGUGAACCUUUACUAUAGCUUGACACUGAACAUUGAGCCUUGAUGUGUAGGAUAGGUGGGAGGCUUUGAAGUGUGGACGCCAGUCUGCAUGGAGCCGGCCUUGAAAUACCACCCUUUAAUGUUUGAUGUUCUAACGUUGACCCGUGAUCCGGGUUGCGGACAGUGUCUGGUGGGUAGUUUGACUGGGGCGGUCUCCUCCUAAAGAGUAACGGAGGAGCACGAAGGUUGGCUAAUCCUGGUCGGACAUCAGGAGGUUAGUGCAAUGGCAUAAGCCAGCUUGACUGCGAGCGUGACGGCGCGAGCAGGUGCGAAAGCAGGUCAUAGUGAUCCGGUGGUUCUGAAUGGAAGGGCCAUCGCUCAACGGAUAAAAGGUACUCCGGGGAUAACAGGCUGAUACCGCCCAAGAGUUCAUAUCGACGGCGGUGUUUGGCACCUCGAUGUCGGCUCAUCACAUCCUGGGGCUGAAGUAGGUCCCAAGGGUAUGGCUGUUCGCCAUUUAAAGUGGUACGCGAGCUGGGUUUAGAACGUCGUGAGACAGUUCGGUCCCUAUCUGCC